UAUGAAAUCUGUUAGAAAUUGCAAUGAAAUUUCUCUCAAAUUCCCCUGAAAUCCGAAAAUUAGUUAGAAGUUAAUAGUAUUCAUUUAGUGAGAUUGAGAUGAUUAUAUUAUUGCUAGUCAUGAGCUCUCAAUGUUAGUUACCAUGUGGAUUCAGUUAGUAGAACUUGGGGUGAAUGCUCAUGAAUGCAUAUCAUGGCAAUAAAUGGGGAUGUUUGGACUAUGGUGGAACGUCACAGUUUUGAUGUUGCUGCCUUGUGCGGACGGUUGUAGCUAGAAAUGCAAGCAGAAUGCUCCUGCUGCUAUGGUUAUAAUUAAAUCGAGAGUGCUUGUGAAGCUCAUGGCUUGGAAUGUCUUGAGAGUUCGGAAUAUGUAUGUCGACUUGUAUUGGCUAUUGGCUUGGCCUCUCUUUUAGUUUAUGCAUUAAACAUUGUAAAUUGUAAUAUAGUUUGAAGAUAUUUGGAUUGGAAAUAUGAUUAGAAGUGGAUUAUAGUUUGAAUGCAAAAGUAUAACAAAGGUGUAAUUUGAAUCGAAUUUGAAAUGUGAGUUAAAGUUGAAAUUA